CGCAGAGACAGUGCUGCAUGGCUGUCGUCAGCUCGUGUUGUGAAAUGUUGGGUUAAGUCCCGUAACGAGCGCAACCCUUGUCCUAUUUGCCAGCGAGUAAUGUCGGGAACUCUAAGGAGACUGCCGGUGACAAACCGGAGGAAAGGUGGGGACGACGUCAAGUCAUCAUGGCCCUUACGGGUAGGGCUACACACGUGCUACAAUGGCCGGUACAAAGGGCUGCGAGCUCGCGAGAGUCAGCGAAUCCCUUAAAGCCGGUCUCAGUCCGGAUCGGAGUCUGCAACUCGACUCCGUGAAGUCGGAAUCGCUAGUAAUCGUGAAUCAGAAUGUCACGGUGAAUACGUUCCCGGGCCUU
rnacentral:rRNA from 1 species